GCCAGGCAUGGUGGCUCGUGGCUGUAGUCUCACCUACCUGGGAGGCUGAGAUGGGAGGAUUGCUUGAGCCCAGGAAUUCAAGGCUGCAGUGAGCUGUGAUUGUGCCUCUGCACUCCAGCCUGGGCAACAAAGCAAGACCCUGUCUCUA
rfam:Nomascus leucogenys chromosome 10, whole genome shotgun sequence.